CGGAUUGUAGGCUGCAACUCGCCUACAUGAAGCUGGAAUCGCUAGUAAUCGCGGAUCAGCAUGCCGCGGUGAAUACGUUCCCGGGCCUUGUACACACCGCCCGUCACACCACGAGAGUUUGUAACACCCGAAGUCGGUGAGGUAACCUUUUGGAGCCAGCCGCCUAAGGUGGGACAGAUGAUUGGGGUGAAGUCGUAACAAGGUAGCCGUAUCGGAAGGUGCGGCUGGAUCACCUCCUUUCUAAGGAA
rnacentral:rRNA from 1 species